rnacentral:rRNA from 1 species
UACGUAGGGGGCAAGCGUUGUCCGGAAUCACUGGGCGUAAAGCGCGCGCAGGCGGUCAUCUACGUCUGGGGUGAAAGCCCGGAGCUCAACUCCGGGACUGCCUUGGAUACGGGAUGACUUGAGGAUCGGAGAGGCAAGAGGAAUUCCACGUGUAGCGGUGAAAUGCGUAGAGAUGUGGAGGAACACCUGUGGCGAAGGCGCCUUGCUGGCCGAUUUCUGACGCUGAGGCGCGAAAGCGUGGGGAGCAAACAGG